rnacentral:rRNA from 1 species
CAGGGGGUGCAAGCGUUAUCCGGAUUUAUUGGGCGUAAAGCGUUUCGUAGGCGGUUUAGUAAGUUAAACUUCAAAGACCCGGGCUUAACCCGGGGAAGGGGUUUAAUACUGCUAGACUUGAGAAUUUUAGGGGCAAUCGGAACUGUUGGUGUAGGGGUGAAAUCCGUUGAUAUCAACAGGAACGUCAAGGGCGUAGGCAGAUUGCUGGGAAAUUUCUGACGCUGAGGAACGAAAGCUAGGGGAGCGAAAGGGAUUAGAGACCCCUGUAGUCCUAGCCGUAAACUUUGCCUGCUAGCGAUGGGGAGUUAAAUCUCCGUUGCGUAAGCUAACGCGUUAAGCGGGCCGCCUGGGGAGUACGAACGCAAGUUUA